rnacentral:rRNA from 1 species
AUUGAACGCUGGCGGCAGGCCUAACACAUGCAAGUCGAGCGGAUGAAGGGAGCUUGCUCCUGGAUUCAGCGGCGGACGGGUGAGUAAUGCCUAGGAAUCUGCCUGGUAGUGGGGGAUAGCGUCCGGAAACGGGCGCUAAUACCGCAUACGUCCUGAGGGAGAAAGUGGGGGAUCUUCGGACCUCACGCUAUCAGAUGAGCCUAGGUCGGAUUAGCUGGUUGGUGGGGUAAAGGCCUACCAAGGCGACGAUCCGUAACUGGUCUGAGAGGAUGAUCAGUCACACUGGAACUGAGACACGGUCCAGACUCCUACGGGAGGCAGCAGUGGGGAAUAUUGGACAAUGGGCGAAAGCCUGAUCCAGCCAUGCCGCGUGUGUGAAGAAGGUCUUCGGAUUGUAAAGCACUUUAAGUUGGGAGGAAGGGCAGUAAGUUAAUACCUUGCUGUUUUGACGUUACCAACAGAAUAAGCACCGGCUAACUUCGUG